rnacentral:miRNA from 1 species
CAUAGAAUGUGACGGCAGAUAAGAACCAUUCGGCCCAUCUAGUCUGCCCAAUUUUCUAAAUACUUUCAGAAAAUUGGGCAGACUAGAUGGGCCGAAUGGUUCUUAUCUGCCGUCACAUUCUAU